GUGUCAGCCGCCGCGGUAAUACGUAGGGUGCAAGCGUUAAUCGGAAUUACUGGGCGUAAAGCGUGCGCAGGCGGUUAUAUAAGACAGAUGUGAAAUCCCCGGGCUCAACCUGGGAACUGCAUUUGUGACUGUAUAGCUGGAGUGCGGCAGAGGGGGAUGGAAUUCCGCGUGUAGCAGUGAAAUGCGUAGAUAUGCGGAGGAACACCGAUGGCGAAGGCAAUCCCCUGGGCCUGCACUGACGCUCAUGCACGAAAGCGUGGGGAGCAAACAGGAUUAGAAACCCCCGUAGUCC
rnacentral:rRNA from 1 species